GACGAACGCUGGCGGCGUGCCUAAUACAUGCAAGUAGAACGCUGAAGGAGGAGCUUGCUUCUCCGGAUGAGUUGCGAACGGGUGAGUAACGCGUAGGUAACCUGCCUGGUAGCGGGGGAUAACUAUUGGAAACGAUAGCUAAUACCGCAUAACAGUAGAUGUUGCAUGACAUUUGCUUAAAAGGUGCAAUUGCAUCACUACCAGAUGGACCUGCGUUGUAUUAGCUAGUUGGUGAGGUAACGGCUCACCAAGGCGACGAUACAUAGCCGACCUGAGAGGGUGAGCGGCCACACUGGGACUGAGACACGGCCCAGACUCAUACGGGAGGCAGCAGUAGGGAAUCUUCGGCAAUGGACGGAAGUCUGACCGAGCAACGCCGCGUGAGGGAAGAAGGAUUUCGGAUCGUAAAGCUCGGUUGUAAGAGAAGAACGAGUGUGAGAGUGGAAAGUUCACACUGUGACGGUAUCUUACCAGAAAGGGACGGCUAACUACGUG
rnacentral:rRNA from 1 species